UGGCUCAGGACGAACGCUGGCGGCGUGCUUAACACAUGCAAGUCGAACGAUGAAGCCUAGCUUUGCUAGGUGGAUUAGUGGCGAACGGGUGAGUAAUACGUGAGUGACCUACCUUUGACUCUGGGAUAAGCCUGGGAAACUGGGUCUAAUACCGGAUACGACCAAUCUCCGCAUGGGGUGUUGGUGGAAAGCGUUAUGGAGUGGUUUUAGAUGGGCUCACGGCCUAUCAGCUUGUUGGUGAGGUAAUGGCUUACCAAGGCGACGACGGGUAGCCGGCCUGAGAGGGUGACCGGCCACACUGGGACUGAGACACGGCCCAGACUCCUACGGGAGGCAGCAGUGGGGAAUAUUGCACAAUGGGCGCAAGCCUGAUGCAGCGACGCCGCGUGAGGGAUGACGGCCUUCGGGUUGUAAACCUCUGUUAGCAUCGAAGAAGCGAAAGUGACGGUAGGUGCAGAGAAAGCGCCGGCUAACUACGUGCCAGCAGCCGCGGUAAUACGUAGGGCGCGAGCGUUGUCCGGAAUUAUUGGGCGUAAAGAGCUUGUAGGCGGUUGGUCGCGUCUGCUGUGAAAGGCUGGGGCUUAACCCUGGUUUUGCAGUGGGUACGGGCUAACUAGAGUGCAGUAGGGGAGACUGGAAUUCCUGGUGUAGCGGUGGAAUGCGCAGAUAUCAGGAGGAACACCGAUGGCGAAGGCAGGUCUCUGGGCUGUAACUGACGCUGAGAAGCGAAAGCAUGGGGAGCGAACAGGAUUAGAUACCCUGGUAGUCCAUGCCGUAAACGUUGGGCACUAGGUGUGGGGGACAUUCCACGUUUUCCGCGCCGUAGCUAACGCAUUAAGUGCCCCGCCUGGGGAGUACGGCCGCAAGGCUAAAACUCAAAGAAAUUGACGGGGGCCCGCACAAGCGGCGGAGCAUGCGGAUUAAUUCGAUGCAACGCGAAGAACCUUACCAAGGCUUGACAUAUACUGGACUGCGUCAGAGAUGGCGUUUCCCUUCGGGGCUGGUAUACAGGUGGUGCAUGGUUGUCGUCAGCUCGUGUCGUGAGAUGUUGGGUUAAGUCCCGCAACGAGCGCAACCCUCGUUCUAUGUUGCCAGCACGUGAUGGUGGGGACUCAUAGGAGACUGCCGGGGUCAAACUCGGAGGAAGGUGGGGAUGACGUCAAAUCAUCAUGCCCCUUAUGUCUUGGGCUUCACGCAUGCUACAAUGGCCGGUACAGAGGGUUGCGAUACUGUGAGGUGGAGCUAAUCCCUAAAAAGCCGGUCUCAGUUCGGAUUGGGGUUCUGCAAACUCGACCCCAUGAAAGUCGGAGUCGCUAGUAAUCGCAGAUCAGCAAACGCUGCGGUGAAAUACGUUUCCCGGGCCCUUGUACACACCGCCCGUCA
rnacentral:rRNA from 1 species